rnacentral:lncRNA from 1 species
GCGAAAACGUCUUAACCAUCUUGGUCGACGUGUUACGUGUUUAUAUAGAGGGGUUGCGAGCCCAAACACGCGUACAAGUUGUUGGAGAGAUAUGCUAGAGAUAUAGCUUGAGGAAGAAGUAAACAAGAGAUAGGAAAAGAUAAAAGGUUACAUGAGUAUCUAUCUUAUCUAACUACUCCUAGCUUCGGUUGAGAAUAUCUCCCUUGACGUACCGGUUCAAGACAUUGUUUAACAAUUAAUAAUUAAUGGCACUAUUGUUUUGCAGGGAGAUAAUAAUGGUACUUGAAAAUGGUUCUUGCUUAUUUCAGCUGCUUUGCAAUCCUAAUCAGUGUAAUUACAUUGCAGCCCUAUUCGGAGUGCGUAUACUGCCAAACAAUGGAUAUAAAUUUGUAAGAAGAGUACGAUACAGAUUCCGCACUCAUAAUAACACGUACAAAUUCAGAGUGCUAAUAUGAUGAAAAUUGAUCAGGGACGACAAGAAACGGCUUGAAUGUCCAAACAAGUCCCACAAGCUCGACAAUCGCCAAAAGAAAAAACAGCAUCUGGUCACCUACAUAUAGCAAAAGCCAAAGAAAAGGAGUUAACAAGAAUAGGAAGUUUGCAGAAUCUCACUUGUCUGGUUAUAUAUAAAAGCAUCUACCAGUGAAAAACAAACUAAGCGAAGCAAUUUUUUCAUUUAUUAUUUUAAAUGAUAAAGCAAUCCUGGCACAAAAUUUACCUGGAAAAAACAAAACAUGUUGGCGUUUCUGUGCCCAGGAAAACCUGCAUUAGGAGAUAAUCAUUAAAUAUGUGGACAUUGAACCUUUA